CCCAACCUGCCGCACCGUCGCUCAGCCCCGCUCGGGCUCCCUCGCCUGUCAAGAGGACAGCCCUACCCACUCGCUGGACUGUCUCGGCGUGGUCCUGGGUCCCCCGGCCUGUGCCCCCCGCCCCCGACGGCUCGCGACCUGGAAAGUGCAAAGUGCCAAGAUCCUUAGGGUGGCCAGGCGACGCCGAUGCGCCCGGUGGGAUUCGAAGCGCUCCCUGAGCGAGACCGGACCCCUAAAUGGCUGAGCGAGCUUCCAUGGGCUCCCCCCACCCCCCCGGAGAGAGCGGCGACCUCGGGCUUCCCCUACAGGGGCAGCAGGGAGAGCGCGAUCCCGCGGCGGGCGCGCGCCAGAGAAUCUAGGGUCACUCUGAAACCCCACCGGUGAACUACAAGCUCACAGAAGAGCCACCAACUUCUCAGCAGAGCUACAUGGGUGAAGAUGCCGUCACUACUUCGGCCUCUGCACCUUGAGCCACAGUGACCAGCUGUACCCACCUAGUCACGCUUCCAGCCUGGUGACCAUCCCAAGCAUCCCAGUACCCAGCCUUCCUGGAUCACCAACCCAAGAUCUUCAAUGGCAAGAUGAACCCCAAAGAGUCUCAGCACCAUCCAGUGACUCAAGACCCCGGACUCAAAUGAUAUCUGCUGGAGAUGGAGGAAGAACAUAGGAUCAAAGCAAACGGUUCGUGAUUCUAGUGUUGUCCUUAUUGUAUUGAGCAAGGCGAACUGUAGGCUCGGGCUUGACCCCCGACCAAGUUCUAAACCAGUGCUGCCGCAACAGUCAGUCUCUAGCAGAUCACAGCAGGUGUCUGUCUGUUGGCUAAGGAACAAUAACAAGAGGGGAGAAUUUCUCAUGUCACUGCCCAGCUUAUGCUCCUUCCUGGUGUAAAACAGCCAACAUUCAGUAACAAUUCUACAUUCAGUAGAGGCCAGACAUGGUUGUGCUCACCUUUAAUCCCAGCAUUCAAGAGGCAGAGGCACGCAGGCCUCUGUGAGUUUGAGUUUGAGGCCAGGCUGGUCUACAUAGAGAGACCUGUCUCAAAGAAAACAAACAAAACAGCUAGUAUAAUAGGGUAGGUCUACUUUGUCUCCCAAGGUCCAGAGUCCCAUGGGGUUUACCCAAAGGCCCCAUCACCUGUGUGUUCAGUAACUAAGCAGAAAGAACCCCCAGAAGCACCAGCAGGGCAUCCUGUGUCUCCCAGGAGAUCUGAGUUAGAUAGGGGUGGUGACAGCUUUAAGAGGGGAGGAGAGCAUGCAGCACUCCAAGGAAUGAUGGGAGCAGAAAUGGGGGCCCAGGGUGAGGUGGAAGAGGAAGGGAAAGGGGGGACUUAGGGAAAGUGGGACUCUGGGGACCACCGUGAUGACGUGCCCACACCAUGUCUGGGGCCUCGGAAACUGUGGGCUUCGCCUGAAAGGUCCCAUCUGACCCAGUAGCCAAGCUCUGAGGUCUCUAAUCCUCAGACUUUUAGUUUGUCAAACCGAAGAAUCACACAAGAACUUCCGUGAUAUGCGACCAUUCUGAAACGGUCUGCUGUGUGGUACCUGCUAGGUGUUCAACAGUUGUAUUUACCCACAGUAGGUCUCCUACUGUGACCUGCAGUGGGGGAUGGGGAAUUAAUGAUAAAGAUGCCACUUGAGCAAGUGCAUUAUGGGAGCAGCUCUUUGUCCCAUACCUGUGGACUACAGGAAUUUGUCUAGCCACAUCUUUGAGCCUCAGUGGUCUUUUGUGACAAACAGCAAUCAGAAAUAAGCCAAGACCAGGCUCUGAUGAGAUCUGUCUGCAGGCACCCAGCAAAGGCAGGCUGUGGGUGUGGGCCAGGAGUAGAGGCAUACUGUGGUUGAGUGUCUCGGGCAGGGCAGGCAGGGUGAGGCCAGUAUUCCAGGGCUCCCCCCCCCCCGCCCCUUCCAUGAACAGCUCUGGCAAUCAGCCGAGGCCAGCUGACAGGUUCUGAUAAAUAAAUAUAAACAACCAUGGCCCCGGGCUCUACUUGGAGGCUAUUGGCUUUCUCAGGAAGAUCUAGCUAGAGGGCACUGUGUGACAGGUUUUGGGGUGCCAAGAAGAAUUGGUAGGCAGAUGUCAUUGGUAGCUCUGAGCUGAGGGCUCACUGUCCCUAGCCACAGUGUCAUACUGGAGCGAUGAACUAACUGUGGCAAUAUUGACAGUGAUUAUAGCACCCGCUUGCUAAGUGCUAAUGACCCUGUUUAAUGUUCAAAGGAAGCUGAGAAAAAAGAUUCUCACUAAACACUUCAGAUGCAGGACCUUGUAUCAGGAUACGUGAAAAACUCCUAUGACUGGAGAGUGGGAAGUCAUCCAGCCAAUGAAAAUGCACGAAGGGUCUGAGCAGAUGCCUACCCAGAGAAGGUACCUGUGGGUGGCAAAUGAACAGCCUCACUGUUGCUUGAGGUACCAGCGGGCUUUGCCCCUCCUUCAGCUACCACAGUGCAGCCUCUGCCGUGCUGCCAUGUCCACUCUGUAAGCACAGAGAGCCCAUCCCAAAGCUUGCUUUCUAGCUCCUGUUGACGGUGAAGAACUGGGGCGCUCAGUGGCCGUGACCAGAUCCCAGGCAAGGCUGUCAGCCCCACAGGACCACCUGUCUCUUCUUGUUGGACCCCAGAAUUCCCCUUUACCACAUCCUGAGGCCCAGGCUCCUCUAUGUUCUUUUGAUGGUGCUCUUGCCAAGGAACGCAUGGGACAGGACAGCUGUCUGGUGUCGACGCCUGUCCAUAGUUCAAGGUGUCAGAUUCCGGACUCAUGACCCUCUCAUGAGGGUCAUGUCCAAACUGCCACCAAGGAGACCUGUGGAAAGUCCUCAGGUGCUGGGAAUUCCCUCUGCAGAAUCUGGCCUGACCGACAUGCAGUUCUAUAAAUGUUCAUGUUUGUCUCCUUAUCUUUUUGUGUCAUUUACUAAAGUAUUGAUAUAGUUUUAGUAAGUAACUAUUUUUAGGUUGCAAAACUUAAUUCUUCAUCUUUAUAUGAUUAAACCCAAAAUCUUUGAUGUGGAAGAAAUAAAGGUCAUGUGUUUAAUCCUGAAAAAAAUAAUGAUGAAGAUGAAAUCUCAGGGUUAGGGUUAGGCCACGACCCUCCUCGCAUGGUCCCAGACACUCCUGUAGGCAAAGGUGAUCAGGUAACACACAGAAAGCUAAACAUGAGGAGCGCAGACUCAAUCCUGUUUCUAGGACCUUCUCUCGAAAGGAUUCUUGGGGAAGAGAAAGAGAGAAUAUAGCAACAUAGUCACUCAGAAAUGUGAGAAUUCAGAGGUGACCUAGGACCCACAGCUGAGACAAAGAUAUUCUAUUUACAUAUUUUUUUCAUUUGUUGAUUUAUGUAUUGUUGUGAUACUGGAGAUUUGAAAUAAGGGCCUCAUGUACACCAUGCAAGUGCUCUGUAAAUGUACUAUAUCUUCAACCUUCUUUAGAAUCUUUAAUUUUGAGGCCAUUCUUGAACUUAUGAGUCUCUUGCCUCAGCCUCCCAAAUACAGGCCUGCAUCACCACAGGCAAGAGGAUGCUGUACUUAGACAUAACCAAGCUGCCAUCCAUUGGAGCCUGUACCAAAGUGAAUGGCUGGAGCCUCGCCAGCUUCUCGUGACCAAGCUCUGUCACUGUGGAGCACCUCACAGCAACGGAAGAAUGAGGACAUGCACACACUGCCGUUUCAGACAGGUCUCAAGGAGAGACUGCUAAAUGGUGGGUUUCACUUUAGGAUUAUAUGUGAAGUUGGAAAAUGAGGAGCGACGCCAGGGAUGGGGGUGGGGAGUGCACACACCUUUAAUCCCAGCACUCAGGAGGCAGAAGCAGGAGGAUCUCUGAGUUCAAGGCCAGCCUGAUCUACAGAGCAAGUCCAGGACAGCCAAGGCUACACAAAGAGACCCUGUCUCAAAAAAAAGAGGGAAUAAAUGUAGAUUUGUAUUUAUGAGUAUAAAAUUCUGGAAGAACUCAUAAGGGACAGAUAUUUUUAAAAAGCUCCAUUGCAUGUAACUAGGGAGAGCUAAGCAGAUGACAGACAAGAUGGGAGGCAGGUUUUCCUCAGUUCUGAAUCUGCAGUAAACCUCUAUGUGCACAAAUUCCAGAUCUGUGUUUCCAUCCAGCCAUGGGCCAGAGACAUUCAGGGUCUGGCUAUAGUUUGAUAGUAGAGCCCUGGUUAGUCAACAGGUUCCAGCCCCAACACACACACACACACACACACACCACAAAGAUGUCACAUCUGUGCCGAGCAUACACAGAGUUUUUCAUUGAGAUUAUUUCCUAAAAAGACACCACAGCAGCCAACUAUUUCUACAGCAUUUCCAUGAUGCCAGGUAUGAUAAGUCACACCUGUCAUGAGACUACAGGAGGAUGUGACAGAUUUGAUGAAGAGAUGAGGCCUACCAUAGUUAGCUUUGACUGUCAGUCUGAGAAAGCCUACAGCCAUGUGUGAGGCACUGCCUCAGUCAGAUUGGCUUUGUGGGAAUGGCGAGUUCAAGGGAGAGCUUGUGCCAAUGCCUCACAUUUAAGAAAUGACAAUGUUUUCUCUUUUGAAAUAUGACUGUUUGGGGGCUAGAGCAAUGGCUCAACAGUUCAGAGCAGUUGCUGUUCCUGUUGAGGACCCAGGUUUGAUUCCAGCACCACACCGUGGUCACACCCACCUAACUCCAAUACCAGCGCAUCUGCUUCCUGCUCUAGAGGUGGCGGGACCUGGGAGAAAGGGGGCAGACUGAAGUCUCAAGCAAUAGCCCACUUUAUUCAGAGUAGCAGACAAUGUAUACUCUGAGGGCUAACAGAAGACAUACAAGUAAAGUGUGCAAUCAUAAGGGCAGGCUGCACGUGGCAGACAGGGAAGCAGAAUCCGAGAACAAUCCCAUGUUUCUGAAGAAACAGGUCGGAAGACUCUGUCUUGGUUUCUUGGAGUUUUCUUGAGCACUCAGAAAUCUCCUUACGCGACUCCGUCCUGGGACCGCGUUCCAACGCAGAUCCAAAGCUUUCUUCUGUCUUCCACAGACAUCAAGCACAAACGUGAUGCAUGAACUUACGUGCAGGCAAUAUUCAUAUACAUAAAAUAAAAAAUAAUCUUUAAAAAAGAA